rnacentral:rRNA from 1 species
AGAGUUUGAUCAUGGCUCAGAAUGAACGCUGGCGGCGUGCUUAACACAUGCAAGUCGAACGAGAAAGGGAUUGCUUGCAAUCCUGAGUAGAGUGGCGCACGGGUGAGUAACACGUAGAUAAUCUACCUUCGAUUUUGGGAUAACCAUCCGAAAGGAUGGCUAAUACCGGAUAAGGUUUUAAUACGCAAGUAUAAAGAUGAAAGUAUGCCUCUUCUUGAAAGCAUAUGAUUGGAGAUGAGUCUGCGGACCAUUAGCUAGUUGGUGGGGUAAGAGCCUACCAAGGCAACGAUGGUUAGCUGGUCUGAGAGGAUGAUCAGUCACACUGGAACUGGAACACGGUCCAGACUCCUACGGGAGGCAGCAGUGAGGAAUUUUGCGCAAUGGGGGAAACCCUGACGCAGCAACGCCGCGUGAGUGAAGAAGGCCUUUGGGUCGUAAAGCUCUGUCAACUGGGAAGAAAUUACAACGAUCCAAUAGGUAGUUGUAUUGACGGUACCAGUGGAGGAAGCGCCGGCUAACUCCGUGCCAGCAGCCGCGGUAACACGGGGGGCGCAAGCGUUAUUCGGAUUUACUGGGCGUAAAGGGCGUGUAGGCGGUCUUAUCGGUCAGAUGUGAAAGCCCAGGGCUCAACCCUGGACGUGCAUUUGAAACAGUAAGACUUGAGUACUGGAGAGGAAAGCGGAAUUCCUGGUGUAGAGGUGAAAUUCGUAGAUAUCAGGAGGAACACCGAUGGCGAAGGCAGCUUUCUGGACAGAAACUGACGCUGAUGCGCGGAGGCGUGGGUAGCGAACAGGAUUAGAUACCCUGGUAGUCCACGCAGUAAACGAUGUACACUAGGUGUAGGGGAUAUUAAAAUUUUUUGUGCCGCAGCUAACGCAUUAAGUGUACCGCCUGGGGAGUACGGUCGCAAGACUAAAACUCAAAGGAAUUGACGGG